rnacentral:misc_RNA from 1 species
GAUGAAGAACGUAGUGAAAUGCGAUAAGUAAUGUGAAUUGCAGAAUUCAGUGAAUCAUCGAAUCUUUGAACGCACAUUGCGCCCGCCAGCAUUCUGGCGGGCAUGCCUGUUCGAGCGUCAUUUCAACCCUCGACCUCCCCUUGGGGAAGUCGGCGUUGGGGACCGGCAGUAUACCGCCGGCCCCGAAAUGGAGUGGCGGCCCGUCCGCGGCGACCUCUGCGUAGUAAUCCAACCUCGCACCGGAACCCCGACGUGGCCACGCCGUAAAACCCCCAACUUUCUGAACGUUGACCUCGGAUCAGGUAGGAAUACCCGCUGAACUUAAGCAUAUCAAUAAGCGGAGGA